rnacentral:lncRNA from 1 species
GUCAGCAUUAGAGUUUUAAACCCUAAACUGAACAUUUUUCCACGCAAUCAGCAUUAGGGUUUUAAACCCUAAACUGAAUGUUUCCAUACAGUCAGCAUUAGGGUUUUAAACCCUAAACUGAACUUUCCCAUUCAGUCAGCAUUAGGGUUUUAAACCCUAAACUGAGCUUUUCCAUUUAGACAGCAUUAGGGUUUUAAACCCUAAACUGAGCUUUUCCAUGCAAUCAGCAUUAGGGUUUUAAACCCUAAACUGAAUUUCUCCUUUAGUCAGCAUUAGGGUUUUAAACCCUAAACCGAACUUUUUUUCCAUUCAGCUAGCAUUAGGGUUUUAAACCCUAAACUGAGCUUUUCCAUGCAAUCAGCAUUAGGGUUUUAAACCCUAAACUGAAUGUUUCCAUACAAUCAGCAUUAGGGUUUUAAACCCUAAACCGAACUUUCCCAUUCAGCCAGCAUUAGGGUUUUAAACCCUAAACUGAGCUUUUCCAUUUAGACAGCAUUAGGGUUUUAAACCCUAAACUGAGCUUUUCCAUGCAAUCAGCAUUAAGGUUUUAAACCCUAAACUGAAUUUCUCCUUUAGUCAGCAUUAGGGUUUUAAACCCUAAACCGAACUUUUUUUACAUUCAGCUAGCAUUAGGGAUUUAAACCCUAAACUGAGCUUUUCCAUGCAAUCAGCAUUAGGGUUUUAAACCCUAAACUGAAUUUUUCCAUGCAAUCAGCAUUAGGGUUUUAAACCCUAAACUGAACUUUCCCAUUCGGCCAGCAUUAGGGUUUUAAACCCUAAACUGAGCUUUUCCAUUCUGUCAGCAUUAGGGUUUUAAACCCCUAAACUGAACUUUUUCCAUUCAGCCAGCAUAAGGGUUUUAAACCCUAAACUGAGCUUUUCCAUGCAGUCAGCAUUAGGAUUUUAAACCCUAAACUGAGCUUUUCCAUUUAGUCAGCAUUAGGGUUUUAACCCCUAAACUGAACUUUUUCCAUUCAGUCAGCAUUAGGGUUUUAAACCCUAAACUGAACUUUUUCCAUUCAGCCAGCAUAAGGGUUUUAAACCCUAAACUGAGCUUUUCCAUUUAGUCAGCAUUAGGGUUUUAAACCCUAAACUGAACUUUUUCCAUUAAGUCAGCAUUAGGGUUUUAAACCCUAAACUGAGCUUUUCCAUGCAGUCAGCAUUAGGGUUUUAAUUAAACCCUAAACUGAGCUUUUCCAUGCAAUCAGCAUUAGGGUUUUAAACCCUAAACUGAAUGUUUCCAUGCAAUCAGCAUUAGGGUUUUAAACCCUAAACUGAACUUUUCCUUUAGUUAGCAUUAGGGUUUUAAACCCUAAACUGAAUGUUUCCAUACAAUCAGCAUUAGGGUUUUAAACCCUAAACUGAGCUUUUCCAUGCAAUCAGCAUUAAGGUUUUAAACCCUAAACUGAAUUUCUCCUUUAGUCAGCAUUAGAGUUUUAAACCCUAAACUGAACAUUUUUCCAUUCAGCCAGCAUUAGGGUUUUAAACCCUAAACUGAGCUUUUCCAUGCAGUCAGCAUUAGGGUUUUAAAACCCUAAACUGAAUUUUUCAUUGAGUCAGCAUUAGGGUUUUAAACCCUAAACUGAACUUUUUUCCAUUCAGCCAGCAUUAGGGUUUUAAACCUAAACUGAGUUUUUCCAUGCAGUCAGCAUUAGGGUUUUAACCCCUAAACUGACCCUUUUUCCUUUAAUCAGCAUUAGGGUUUUUA